GAGCCAACCCCGGUCCGCCGCCAGAGCGGCUUGGGGGUGCGGGGGGUGGGAACCAGGGGCCAAGGCGCAGGCGCGACGUAGCCGGCUGGUAACUGAGGCACCUUCGCCGGUAGGGCGUGGUCGUCCAGAAGGGAGGGGUCCAGAGAGAAAGGGAAGACCCAGGCGAGGCGAGCGCCGUUCUUACGACAGAGAACCGGGUUAAUUCCGGAGCACAGCGUACUGCGCGGCGCGGGCGCCGGCGUGGCGCAGACACCGCCCCGGGGUCGGAGGGUGUUGGGGGAGAACCUAGUUGCCGGAGACUUUUUCCGUAAGAAAUGUUUGGCUCCUUAAAGCUGUUAUGUCCUGCAUCCCACGCUUGGGAGAGAGAAGGGUUAUCCAGACAGCAGGGGAAGACAGACGUUAUGACAGAUAAACAAAUCAUUUAUUAAACAUGUACAGAAGAGGAACAGCCUUGUUGCUUGAGGUGGCUUGGGAAGUAUUUCCACAGACGGCGAUGCUCGAGCUACAUCUUGAAGGAAAAUCCAGAAUUCUUCAGCUGAGAAGAGAAGAACUAGCUGUUUAAAUCACUCCCACGUAAAUCAUAUCUAUUCUAGAUGUUUUGAAAAAAAAAAAAAACAUAGGAAACUAUGCCUCCAUUUGUUUAUUCUACAAUGUUAAGGUAUCAGAUUCUUCAACUCCUGUGUGUUCGUGUUGAGGCCGAGGAAUUUUUUCCCCCCAAGUCUAUUUUCCACUGUCUUGUCCAAAUGGGAUACCAGAUCCUGCUGCUUAGCUUGAGAAAAGCAUUUUAUCUCUGGUGCCUUGAUCACAUCAGAGCUUAUAUUUAAAGCAUGAGUGAUGAGAAGAGACUGCAGCUGAGUCCCUGGCUCUGUCCCAUCCCUUGAGCACCCUCCUCUCCUCCUCUCCACUGAGGGCUCUAGAGGCCAUCCUACAGUGACUGGUGGGGACCAGAGCUCAUCAGAGCCAUGAGUAAAAUCUCUGUUCUACAAUCCAGGCUGCAUUUACUGGGAUCUGCCACAGAGGCUCAUCAGAAACCCUCAAGGAGUGGGCUACCUGGCUUCCAUCCAUGUGUGCCCCUCUACAUAUACACCCAUGUUUGAUGAUUGGCUGGCUUGUGUGGGCUCAGGCUCAGACACCCCUUGGAGGCCUCAACCUGUGUAGGUUUCAGUUACAUAUCAAGCUGUUCAGUUCCCAGUGGAGAUCAUUCUGGUGCAGAGGCCAAGACACUAUCAUCAGACACACCCUUUGAAGAGCCUCCUAAAAAUCUGACUCAGGGCACCACUUUUUAUGGUUUCUGUGUCCUCAUGCCAAGUUCUUAAACCCGCUCACCAUCAGUAUUUUCAUCUAUAGGAUGGGGGUCAUAAUUGUACCAUUCCCAUAAGUUUAUUUUAAGCUUUAAAUAAAUGAAUCCAUGUAAUGCUGUUAGCACGUAACAAGUACUCCAUCUACAUUAGCUAUUAUUAUUAUUAACUAUUUUAUAAUAAAAUUAUUUCUGAUUGUAAAAGAAUCAAUGAUCACUGCAGAAAAUUUUUGAACUACUGACAAGCUUAGGAAGAAACAAUCACAGCAUCCAGAAAUAAGGGCUAUAAUCAUUUUGAUGUAUAGUCUUCUCAGCUUUUCUAGGUAUGCAUAUAUAUUCAAUAUAUAUAAUAUAAUGAAUGUAAUAUAUAAUAAAUAUAAGUUCUCACUUA